UACAGAGGUCUCAAGCGUUGUCCGGAAUUAUUGGGCGUAAAGAGCUCGUAGGCGGUUUGUUGCGUCGGCUGUGAAAUCCCGAGGCUCAACCUCGGGUCUGCAGUCGAUACGAGCAAACUAGAGUGUUGCAGGGGAGACUGGAAUUCCUGGUGUAGCGGUGAAAUGCGCAGAUAUCAGGAGGAACACCGGUGGCGAAGGCGGGUCUCUGGGCAACAACUGACGCUGAGGAGCGAAAGCGUGGGGAGCGAACAGG
rnacentral:rRNA from 1 species